AUGAACGCUGGCGGCGUGCCUAAUACCUGCAAGUCGAGCGAACAGACGAGGAGCUUGCUCCUCUGACGUUAGCGGCGGACGGGUGAGUAACACGUGGAUAACCUACCUAUAAGACUGGGAUAACUUCGGGAAACCGGAGCUAAUACCGGAUAAUAUAUUGAACCGCAUGUUUCAAUAGUGAAAGACGGUUUUGCUGUCACUUAUAGAUGGAUCCGCGCCGCAUUAGCUAGUUGGUAAGGUAACGGCUUACCAAGGCGACGAUGCAUAGCCGACCUGAGAGGGUGAUCGGCCACACUGGAACUGAGACACGGUCCAGACUCCUACGGGAGGCAGCAGUAGGGAAUCUUCGGCAAUGGGCGAAAGCCUGACGGAGCAACGCCGCGUGAGUGAUGAAGGUCUUCGGAUCGUAAAACUCUGUUAUUAGGGAAGAACAAAUGUGUAAGUAACUAUGCACGUCUUGACGGUACCUAAUCAGAAAGCCACGGCUAACUACGUG
rnacentral:rRNA from 1 species